AAAAGGACUGAUCCUAAAAGGAGAAUAGCUUCUUUUUUUUUUUUUUUUUUUUGGCUGAGUAAGUAAGGAUGGAUGAAACUGCCCCCCUGGAUAACAAUGUAGCAUAUAUAUGUUGGAGCACAUCCCAUCUUAUGGAGAAGUAACAUUUAAGGGGGUGGGUAGCAAUAUCCUUCACCAUCCUUAUAAAUCUGUCUCACAAGUUUAUAAUAUUCACCAUUCCUCCUCUAAUGUUUUGUUUACAUGAAGAUAUACUAUGCCACACUAGUAGUGUUAGACUUGCCCUGUUGAGGUUAACAACACAGCAAUAGCUUGAUGGGAAAGGUGUUUCCUCAUCCUGUGAAAAUUUUUGAGAUUUCACCAUUUUGCUAGUCUCCAUACAAAAACAUACAUAUCAGUAUAAAAUUUGUUUUAUUCUUCCUUAUAAGGCUUUUGGAGUGCUCCAAAUAGCCUGGAUAUUUUAUCAAGAAAGGUCAGUGAACAGAGAGCAUGUGACAUCCUGAAUAGAAAUACAGAAUUAUAGAAUGCAGUGGUUUGGAAAGGAAGCCUUAAAGAUCAUCUAGUUUUCAUCAUCUAGAGCUCCUCAUCAGCCAGCACUCCAAAGUCCUUCUCCUCAGGGCUGUUCUUAAUCCAUUUCCCACUCAGCCUGUAUUUGUGCUUGGCCAGUGCUUGGAAGAAAUGUCCUGUCUUGACAUAAACAUUUUUUUUUUAUUUUUAUUUUUUUUUUUUUAAUCAAAACCUAAUACUGUGGCAUAACUAGAGUUAAUAAUUUCUAUUCAGGGACUUUCCCAGGUAAACUCUGUGAAAUUUAAUCAGCAUUUACACUAUAUGUUGCUGUGAAAUUAUAUUCAGUUAUAAAGAUACCUGUUUGUUUACACACGGUACUUGUGUUCUAAAGUCACCUGGUUACCCAGUAUUUCCUAAGAUGAUAGCAACUUUCUAUGAAGAUUUGGAGUACGUCUGAGACAAGAGGACUGCACAUUUUUUUCUGUCUAAAUUUGUCUUUAUGGUUGUUGCCAGCUGCCUACAUACACAACAAAUGUAAUAGAAGCAAGAAAUUAAACAAAAGUCUUCAACCUAUUUGGUACUGGGGAAGAAACCUUUCUCGCAUUUUCUGCUGAGAUCUGCCCUUCAACCUGGUAAUAUAUAACUAGUUUUAGCAAAGUUAUUUCACUUUGCUUUACCCUCCCAUCUUUUAAUG
rnacentral:lncRNA from 1 species